AUACGUAGGGUGCAAGCGUUAAUCGGAAUUACUGGGCGUAAAGCGUGCGCAGGCGGUUUUGUAAGACAGUGGUGAAAUCCCCGGGCUCAACCUGGGAACUGCCAUUGUGACUGCAAGGCUGGAGUGCGGCAGAGGGGGAUGGAAUUCCGCGUGUAGCAGUGAAAUGCGUAGAUAUGCGGAGGAACACCGAUGGCGAAGGCAAUCCCCUGGGCCUGCACUGACGCUCAUGCACGAAAGCGUGGGGAGCAAACAGGAUUAGAUACCCUGGUAGUCCACGCCCUAAACGAUGUCAACUGGUUGUUGGGGAUUUAUUUUCUCAGUAUCGAAGCUAACGCGUGAAGUUGACCGCCUGGGGAGUACGGCCGCAAGGUUAAAACUCAAAUGAAUUGACGGGG
rnacentral:rRNA from 1 species